UGCCUUGAAGAUCGGAGUGCUUGCACUCUGUGAAACAAGAUACAGACUAGCGGCGGACGGGUGAGUAACACGUGGGUAACCUGCCCAAGAGAUCGGGAUAACACCUGGAAACAGAUGCUAAUACCGGAUAACAACAGAUGAUGCCUAUCAACUGUUUAAAAGAUGGUUCUGCUAUCACUCUUGGAUGGACCUGCGGUGCAUUAGCUAGUUGGUAGGGUAACGGCCUACCAAGGCGAUGAUGCAUAGCCGAGUUGAGAGACUGAUCGGCCACAUUGGGACUGAGACACGGCCCAAACUCCUACGGGAGGCAGCAGUAGGGAAUCUUCCACAAUGGACGCAAGUCUGAUGGAGCAACGCCGCGUGAGUGAAGAAGGGUUUCGGCUCGUAAAGCUCUGUUGUUGGUGAAGAAGGACAGGGGGUAGUAACUGACCUUUGUUUGACGGUAAU
rnacentral:rRNA from 1 species